AUUGAACGCUGGCGGCAUGCCUUACACAUGCAAGUCGAACGGCAGCACGGGUGCUUGCACCUGGUGGCGAGUGGCGAACGGGUGAGUAAUACAUCGGAACGUACCGUGUAAUGGGGGAUAACGUAGCGAAAGUUACGCUAAUACCGCAUACGACCUGAGGGUGAAAGCAGGGGAUCGCAAGACCUUGCGUUAUACGAGCGGCCGAUGUCAGAUUAGCUAGUUGGUGAGGUAAAGGCUCACCAAGGCGACGAUCUGUAGCGGGUCUGAGAGGAUGAUCCGCCACACGGGGACGGAGACACGGCCCAGACUCCUACGGGAGGCAGCAGUGGGGAAUUUUGGACAAUGGGGGCAACCCUGAUCCAGCCAUGCCGCGUGAGUGAAGAAGGCCUUCGGGUUGUAAAGCUCUUUCGGCCGGGAAGAAAUCGCACAGGCUAAUACUCUGUGUGGAUGACGGUACCGGCAUAAGAAGCACCGGCUAACUACGUGCCAGCCGCCGCAGUAA
rnacentral:rRNA from 1 species